AACGAACGCUUGCGGCGUGCUUAACACAUGCAAGUCGAACGAGAAAGGGGACUUCGGUUCCCGAGUAAAGUGGCGCACGGGUGAGUAACGCGUAGAUAAUCUACCCUAGUGUACGGGACAACAACGGGAAACUGGUGCUAAUACCGGAUACGCUUCAGAGAUCGCGAGAUUUUUGAAGGAAAGAUGGGGACCUUUCGGGGCCUAUCGCACAAGGAUGAGUCUGCGUACCAUUAGCUAGUAGGUGGGGUAACGGCCCACCUAGGCGACGAUGGUUAGCGGGUCUGAGAGGAUGAUCCGCCACACUGGCACUGGAACACGGGCCAGACUCCUACGGGAGGCAGCAGUGAGGAAUUUUGCACAAUGGGGGAAACCCUGAUGCAGCGACGCCGCGUGAGUGAUGAAGGCUUUCGAGUCGUAAAACUCUGUCA
rnacentral:rRNA from 1 species